rnacentral:rRNA from 1 species
CCUACGGGAGGCAGCAGUGAGGAAUAUUGGUCAAUGGACGAGAGUCUGAACCAGCCAAGUAGCGUGCAGGAUGACUGCCCUAUGGGUUGUAAACUUCUUUUAUAAGGGAAUAAACCGCGGCACGCGUGCCUUUUUGCAUGUACUUUAUGAAUAAGGAUCGGCUAACUCCGUGCCAGCAGCCGCGGUAAUACGGAGGAUCCGAGCGUUAUCCGGAUUUAUUGGGUUUAAAGGGAGCGUAGAUGGGUUGUUAAGUUAGUGGUGAAAGUUUGCGGCUCAACUGGGAAAUUGCAAUUGAUACUGGCAGGCUUGAGUGCAGUUGAGGUAGGCGGAAUUCGUGGUGUAGCGGUGAAAUGCUUAGAGAUCACGCAGAACCCCGAUUGCGAAGGCAGCUUACUAAGCUGUGACUGACGUUGAUGCUCGAAAGUGUGGGUAUCAAACAGGAUUAGAUACCCGGGUAGUC